UACGGAGGAUGCAAGCGUUAUCCGGAUUUAUUGGGUUUAAAGGGUGCGCAGGCGGGAGAUUAAGUCGGCGGUGAAAUUUUGCAGCUCAACUGUAAAAGUGCCUUCGAUACUGGUUUCCUUGAGUGUGGAUGAAGUAGGCGGAAUUUGUGGUGUAGCGGUGAAAUGCUUAGAUAUCACGAGGAACUCCGAUUGCGCAGGCAGCUUACUAAACCACUACUGACGCUCAGGCACGAAGGCGUGGAGAUCAAACAGGAUUAGAUACCU
rnacentral:rRNA from 1 species